rnacentral:rRNA from 1 species
GGCGGCGUGCUUAACACAUGCAAGUCGAACGAAGCUGUUAAAAGGAAGUCUUCGGAUAGAAUUUUAACAGACUUAGUGGCGGACGGGUGAGUAACGCGUGGAUAACCUGCCUUAUACAGGGGGAUAACGGAGAGAAAUUUCCGCUAAGACCGCAUAAGACCACAGCACCGCAUGGUGCGGGGGUAAAAUAUUAAUAGGUAUAAGAUGGAUCCGCGUCCGAUUAGCUAGUUGGUGAGGUAGAGGCUCACCAAGGCGACGAUCGGUAGCCGGCCUGAGAGGGUGAACGGCCACAUUGGGACUGAGACACGGCCCAAACUCCUACGGGAGGCAGCAGUGGGGAAUAUUGGACAAUGGGGGAAACCCUGAUCCAGCGACGCCGCGUGAGUGAAGAAGUAUUUCGGUAUGUAAAGCUCUAUCAGCAGGGAAGAAAA